rnacentral:ncRNA from 1 species
CGAGGUUCUGCCCUGUAAUGGGGCAGCCAAGAGGGAAUCGCGUGUGAAUCGCGAGCUGUCGCGCAACUGUAAUUCUGCCAUAUCGCUUCGCCAGUUGACCAUUGGGCCCGUGGGGCCUGAGAAGGUGCGUUGUCGGUGCAGUCGAGCCAGGAGACCUGCCUUGAUGU